AUACAAAUUUGCGUUAAAAAGCUGUUCAUCACUGUGCUUGUGAGAAAAAGAUGGAUCCGUCUGCCAGUAUGCACAUGUCCGCUGUUCCCCAGAACAGUGAUAUCGUCCACGUCUCUGUCGGGAACCCCAUUAUAACCAUGUAUCAGCCACAACCGCAACCUCCAAACAUCGCACAGAUCAUCACACAGCACGUGGUACCUCAAGAAGUCUCCUGUCACGCUGUACCGCACACCAUCCCAUCGCACGUCCAGAUGCCAACUCACAUCCAGACUCAGUCACACAUCCAGCCCGCUCCACAUCUGCAGACUCCACUGCAAGGCCACGUGGAGGCACAGGCUCAUAUUCAGACCCAAGACCACUUAUCAACACAAGGUCCAUCAGAAGGCCAGAGUGCCGCGCCAUCUCAAGAUGGUGCAGUGAACUCACUGCAGGUCCCUUUUGCAGAGGUAGCCUCCCUCCUGGAUCCUAACAUGAAGAGCUCAAAGGCCCGCAAGUAUCAGAUCCAUUACGAAGAGGUGAAGAGGAGAUUAGAGCCGCCUGAGAAGAUGUCUCUCCGAUCUCUGGCUGCCUAUACAAGAGUGAGUCGAGGUCCUGCUAGUAAGAAAACACUCUUGGAGUCCCUAAAUGUCUUUGGACUGUCACCAAGCACCAAUACAGCAGUAUCCAGUUCCUUUUCUAAACUAACUGAAGGUGACACAGCUGCCCUUUGCAAAGACAUGAAGGAUUUUGCACUGCAAUAUGUUGAUUAUGAGAAUAUGGCGAAACAGUUGCUACCUGAAACGAACCAAGUACAGCACUGGUCAAAAAUCAUUGAAACAAGGAACUAUCUAGAGGAGAUGCGGAAGACUUUUAAUGAUCCAGUGAAUACACGUUUGUUCUCCAAUGUUACACAUGGUCUUGGUAACGGCAUGAUGGACGUGGCUCUCGAUAUCAUAGAUACCGUCAUCGACCGACAAAUCCGAAUCCUCUCAGGAAACACUGACCCCAAACCCGAACCUCCGGUGAGAAGGAUAAGGAAACGCAACCGCAAGCCCAAAGCUGCCACGGAAGAUGGAAAACCUAAAGAAAAGGGCAAAAGGGGACAGAAGAAAGGAAAACAGAUGCGGCUGGAUUCUGUUGUUCCUGAAGUUCAGCAGUCCACAGAGAUGGAGAGCAGUGUGUUAACACUAGUCUCUGUAGGAUACGAAACUAUUUCCAGUGGACUUAACGCCACCAAUGCAGGUCUCGUGUAACAUCACGUGCCUGAAAGGUGCUGAGAGACACUGAAUUCAGAGUGCAAAAAGUUUUUCAUAGAAAACUUUAGUUUUAUAAACAUUAGACUUCUCCUUCUCUCUGAAUAUAUUUUGGGGGUUUUUCUCACAAACUGGUUGAUCAAGAAAAUAAUGUGGGUCUGAGAAGCUGUUUUGAUUUAUACUUUACCAAUCAUGUGUCGCUCUCAAUCUCUUGUUUUGUCAUUUGUGGUAAAGAACAAAUGUACACAGACAGCGUAUGCUAUUAAAGUAGCAGGCAAGCAUUUUUUUUUUCAAGCACUAUGUUGUAUUCUCAUGAAAUUAAUCACAAUAUCAGUUUCUCUUAGUCUCAUUUUAGAAUUUUAUCUCUGAAGUGUUAUUUGUUUCUGUUUUACUUAAUCCUACAAACCCCUAGCAAUUUAGUUUGAGUAAGAACAUACCUUCUCUUAAUUUUUCAGACUAUUUAUUUACUUUUUCUGUUUGUGUCUGAUAUGUAGUGUAUGUGAAUGACUGUAGCCUGUACUCUGUAAGUUUUACAGAUUGCUCAUCAUAUGCUUGUAUUAAAAGCAUUACCUUUUUACAAAGCAGUUUGUAUAUUUAUUACUUUUUUAUUGCUUGCAGAGCGUGAAAGCAUCCACUCUAAUGUAAGAUUAAAAUUUAUUAAAUGGAUUUAUUGCAAUUGCUAUUGCACAUAUUUAGGGUUAGGGAUUUAAACAAACCCUUAACCCUAAGUGUUAACGUUUUACGAGUGUUAAAAUUUAAAAAACAUUAUUUGUGCAAUGAGCCAGAGAUAUCUGAAAUGGUGGGUUUUUGUGAAGCAUCUUGCAAUUUUUCUUAAACAACAAAAUAUGGCAGGAGGGACACAAUCCAGAACAUCAUAGAGAUAUUUUUUAUAUGAUCCAGUAAGUAACAUGUAACAAUACGUUUACAACCAUUCCGAACAGCUUUGCAGCCACAUAGCAUCAUACUAGCAUUGUGGUGGCAACAGUAUUUCAGAACAUGUAAAACUGUUUAAUUUAAUAACAUGUAGUUACUGUAGUAAUUUGUCUGUUUUAUAAGUGCCCUAAGAAGUCAAUAAUGGCUAAUUGGUUUGUUUUCAAUUAUGUUCACUUCAACUACUUUGUAAUCUUUUGUAUUUUCACAAAAGAUUUCCCCACAAAGCCACUUUUCUGAAGCCCUCGCGAAAAAGCAGAGAAAAUCCUCACCAUGUAGUCAGAUUUGUAACUGAGCCAGUGAUAUUGUUUGUCUGUUUGUUGUUCCUCUCUCUCUUCUGCCCUCUUGGAGAUAUUUGAUGUGGGCUUUCUGCAGUUCACAGUGUUUCCUACAGGUGUCCUGUCCACUGUGAGGCUUUCAUCAGAUUGAGGAUUUGGAGUGCAUUAGUGAAGGUCUGAAUCAGAGCAGGCGGUGGAGAGACAGGGAUUGAGAGGAAGAAAAUAAAUGUGAUGAGUGUGGGAGGGAGGAGUCGCA
ensembl:lncRNA